GCCUUCGGGGUGUAGUGGUCAGCAGGCCUGACGCGUAAUCAAGAGGUCCGUGGUUCGAAUCCCGGCGAGGGCA
rnacentral:tRNA from 1 species